AACGAACGCUGGCGGCAUGCUUAACACAUGCAAGUCGAACGAGAAAAGUCCUUCGGGGCUGAGUAGAGUGGCGAACGGGUGAGUAACGCGUAGAUAACCUACCCUUUAAUCUGGGAUAACUUUCCGAAAGGAGAGCUAAUACCGGGUAAAACAAUGAUUCGAGUGGGUCGUUGUUGAAAGCUCCGGCGUUAGAGGAUGGGUCUGCGUUCCAUUAGCUUGUUGGUGAGGUAACGGCUCACCAAGGCUUCGAUGGAUAGCGGGUCUGAGAGGAUGAUCCGCCACACUGGCACUGAGACACGGGCCAG
rnacentral:rRNA from 1 species